rnacentral:rRNA from 1 species
UUCCAGACUCCUACGGGAGGCAGCAGUGGGGAAUAUUGCACAAUGGGGGGAACCUUGAUGCAGCAACGCCGCGUGGGUGAAGAAGUACUCCGGUAUGUAAAGCCCUGUCAGCAGGGAAGAAAAUGACGGUACCUGACCAAGAAGCCCCGGCUAACUACGUGCCAGCAGCCGCGGUAAUACGUAGGGGGCAAGCGUUAUCCGGAAUUACUGGGUGUAAAGGGAGCGUAGACGGCGAAGUAAGCCUGAAGUGGAAGCCCGCGGCCCAACCGCGGAACUGCUUUGGGAACUGUUUUGCUGGAGUAUGGGAGGGGUAAGCGGAAUUCCUGGUGUAGCGGUGAAAUGCGUAGAUAUCAGGAGGAACACCGGUGGCGAAGGCGGCUUACUGGACCAUGACUGACGUUGAGGCUCGAAAGCGUGGGGAGCGAACAGGAUUAGAUACCCCCGUA